rnacentral:pre_miRNA from 1 species
GCUAUCCAUUUCAGAAUGUCCCUUGUGUUAAGGUGCAUCUAGUGCAGUUAGUGAAGUAGCUUAGAAUCUACUGCCCUAAAUGCUCCUUCUGGCACAAGCUGCCUAAUAUACAACUUCGAAAUCCAUGCGU